GACGAACGCUGGCGGCGUGCUUAACACAUGCAGGUCGAACGGAAAGGCCCUGCUUUUGUGGGGUGCUCUAGUGGCGAACGGGUGAGUAACACGUGAGUAACCUGCCCUUGACUUUGGGAUAUCUUCAGGAAACUGGGGCUAAUACCGGAUAGGAGCUCCUGCUGCAUGGUGGGGGUUGGAAAGUUUCGGCGGUUGGGGAUGGACUCGCGGCUUAUCAGCUUGUUGGUGGGGUAGUGGCUUACCAAGGCUUUGACGGGUAGCCGGCCUGGGAGGGUGACCGGCCACAUUGGGACUGAGAUACGGCCCAGACUCCUACGGGAGGCAGCAGUGGGGAAUAUUGCACAAUGGGCGGAAGCCUGAUGCAGCAACGCCGCGUGCGGGAUGACGGCCUUCGGGUUGUAAACCGCUUUCGCCUGUGACGAAGCGUGAGUGACGGUAAUGGGUAAAGAAGCACCGGCUAACUACGUG
rnacentral:rRNA from 1 species